rnacentral:lncRNA from 1 species
AGAUCUACCAAACCGGUACCGAGACCCGUAUCGGUCGGCAGCCGGUUCAGUAUGACACCGAACUGGUAUGUACCAACACAUGGUACACAAUGGCAUGCUAGUUCUGAACUGGCAUACCAAUUUUUUUCAAUAUUUUUGAGUUUGAAUUAAUGGUAAUCAAUUUUUACAAUUUUUUCAAUAAUUUUAAAUAUAAUUUGAUAUUUCUUGAUAUUUCUAUGAUCUCGAUAUAUCCUAAAUGAUGCCUCUUGAUGUUUUAGAGUGAUGUAGGACAUAAAAUGAUUAGUGAGAUGUAUGUUAAAAGAAGCAACAUAAAAUAUUCUAAAAUCAAUUAGUGAGACAAAAUGUAAAAUGAUACAAUUAAUUAUAUAUAUUUAAAAUACAACAUAUAUACCGAUAUCUAAAAUCUUGUCGAAUGGCGAUGUCUCUCGUAGACUGUCUGUGGCUGUGGGUAAUAGAAUCCAGCAUAUGUCUUAGAACCUGAUGUCUAUGGAUCCUACUCCAUAUGCUAAGUCAUAUGUCACUGCAUCGUAUCCUCCUAAAGGAUCUCUAGGGGCCCGUCUCUAAUAUCCAAUCGUAUCCUCGCGGGCUCUAUCAGAUUAUGUAUCGUAGUCCCUAUCCUGCGUGGUAUUCUUAAACUGAGACUUACUAUUGAAUCAAAAACCACCCUACGACUGUCUCAUAAACGGUGGUCUUAUGUCCACUCCCUUCUUGGCCACCAGAUCUAUGACCAUCGGAAUUAUCAUCGCUGCUCUUUCUGAUCUCUGAAUCUAAGUAAAUUGACUUCUCCACACUCUCCAUCAAGGUUGUGACUACUUUUUCUUUUUUUGUUGCGCUAAACAGUUGCAUGCCUUUUCUUUGUGCCCCUCUCUGUCUAGCAAUGCUGGGAGGAUGGAUGUCGCCUUCCUGAGUCGACUAGGUAGCGCGGUUACCUCGUCUAAGUCUCGAUUAUAUCUCUGGAAGGAUAUCUCAGACAAGAAGUCAUAUAAGGACCAGCUCUACAUU